GAUGAACGCUGGCGGCGUGCCUAAUACAUGCAAGUCGAGCGAACGGACGAGAAGCUUGCUUUUCUGAUGUUAGCGGCGGACGGGUGAGUAACACGUGGAUAACCUACCUAUAAGACUGGGAUAACCUCGGGAAACCGGAGCUAAUACCGGAUAAUAUUUUGAACCGCAUGGUUCAAAAGUGAAAGACGGUCUUGCUGUCACUUAUAGAUGGAUCCGCGCUGCAUUAGCUAGUUGGUAAGGUAACGGCUUACCAAGGCAACGAUGCAUAGCCGACCUGAGAGGGUGAUCGGCCACACUGGAACUGAGACACGGUACAGACUCCUACGGGAGGCAGCAGUAGGGAAUCUUCCGCAAUGGGCGAAAGCCUGACGGAGCAACGCCGCGUGAGUGAUGAAGGUCUUCGGAUCGUAAAACUCUGUUAUUAGGGAAGAACAUAUGUGUAAGUAACUGUGCACAUCUUGACGGUACCUAAUCAGAAAGCCACGGCUAACUACGUG
rnacentral:rRNA from 1 species